AGAGUUUGAUCAUGGCUCAGAUUGAACGCUGGCGGUAGGCCUAACACAUGCAAGUCGAACGGUAACAGGAAACAGCUUGCUGUUUCGCUGACGAGUGGCGGACGGGUGAGUAAUGUCUGGGAAACUGCCUGAUGGAGGGGGAUAACUACUGGAAACGGUAGCUAAUACCGCAUAACGUCGCAAGACCAAAGAGGGGGACCUUCGGGCCUCUUGCCAUCGGAUGUGCCCAGAUGGGAUUAGCUAGUAGGUGGGGUAACGGCUCACCUAGGCGACGAUCCCUAGCUGGUCUGAGAGGAUGACCAGCCACACUGGAACUGAGACACGGUCCAGACUCCUACGGGAGGCAGCAGUGGGGAAUAUUGCACAAUGGGCGCAAGCCUGAUGCAGCCAUGCCGCGUGUAUGAAGAAGGCCUUCGGGUUGUAAAGUACUUUCAGCGGGGAGGAAGGGAGUAAAGUUAAUACCUUUGCUCAUUGACGUUACCCGCAGAAGAAGCACCGGCUAACUCCGUGCCAGCAGCCGCGGUAAU
rnacentral:rRNA from 1 species